AGGCAAGGAUGUUCGACUAAAACCUCGGCGUCCAUGCCGAAACGUCGAACGACCCACAUCCUGCGGG
rnacentral:sRNA from 1 species